rnacentral:lncRNA from 1 species
GUGGGAGUUGCUCAAAUUAAGGUUCUUUGUUUGCCUUAAAAAUAAGGACUUUACUUAUAUGGAGAGAUAGAACAAUAUGUAAAUGAUAAGGUUGCUUGGAAAUAUAAAUGACAGAGGAAAGUGACUAAAAUUGCAGAUUGCUUGUAAUUUAUAUGGCUGGAAAUGAGUACAUAACAGCUACAAAUGAGAUCGAUACCGCAAGUGAGCAGCAGAGCUAAUAAACUAGAUAAAAGAAGGCUUUUUGGUGAAGGUUUAUCCCGAAUGGGAUGAAGGUUUGGGCUGACUACAGCUUCGUUGAAGGCAAAUCUGGCUUGAGCAGAGUUUUGGCUUUUGUUUGUUUGUUUGAGUGUCCAUAAUCCUUGUGCAUCUGCUCCUUUUUAUAGAGGUCUGGAGGAAACCCUCCUGCUGAGGUUUUGUAUCUGCCCGAAAAAAGCUUGGGCAGCUUGUAUUCCAUUGCUUUAGACAGCUUGCAUGCUUUUCACUUGCCAACUUGCAUGGAGAAAUAAUAUUAAAAGGGGAACUUGCAUUUCCACCACAAGCUUUUAGCACAUGUUUUCCCACUUGUAAUAAACUAACAUUUAAAAGAAGCAAGUUGGAUUCUUUCACAUGUUCCUUGCCCGAAAGCUUGCUGAUGCUUUUCCAUCCACUUGCAAUACAUGCAUGUACCUUGAUUAAACAAAUGCUAGACAAACCUCCACCACCCAAACAAAUAGGAGAAACAAUAUUAUAGUGUCCAACCCCUCCACUUGCAUCUAAAUAUCUUUCCAAGUUAGCUUUCUUGCAUAUUAAUCCUCCAAAUGCCAUAUUUUACCCAAAUUGCCCAAAUAAGUAAAAAUGUGUAUAUUUUGAGUGCAAACAGUGCCCCCCAAGUUUUACAAAUUUGAGCAAAGUUUGUGAAACUUACAACCCCAAUGCUGCCAGGAUUGAUGUCGAAGGAAGAGGCACGUCUACAUCUUCAGUCCUUUCGUCGUUGAGAAACUUGGCAAGAUAUGUUCGCUCCCUAAAUCCGCCAUGGCGCCUUGCGGGCAAGCCGGGGAUUUACUUCACAUAUGAGAUUGGUGGGUGCGGGCGUGCCACUACUAGAUGCCGCUAGUAGACGGGAUUUGAGUGAUUGAGGUUGCGCCUGAAUUUGCCCGAAUCAAGAGAUUGUGUCAUUUGAGUGGGAGUUGCUCAAAUUAAGAUUCUUUGUUUGCCUUAAAAAUAAGGACUUUACUUAUAUGGAGAGAUAGAACAAUAUGUAAAUGAUAAGGUUGCUUGGAAAUAUAAAUGACAGAGGAAAGUGACUAAAAUUGCAGAUUGCUUGUAAUUUAUAUGGCUGGAAAUGAGUACAUAACAGCUACAAAUGAGAUCGAUACCGCAAGUGAGCAGCAGAGCUAAUAAACUAGAUAAAAGAAGGCUUUUUGGUGAAGGUUUAUCCCGAAUGGGAUGAAGGCUUGGGCUGACUACAGCUUCGUUGAAGGCAAAUCUGGCUUGAGCAGAGUUUUGGCUUUUGUUUGUUUGUUUGAGUGUCCAUAAUCCUUGUGCAUCUGCUCCUUUUUAUAGAGGUCUGGAGGAAACCCUCCUGCUGAGGUUUUGUAUCUGCCCGAAAGAAGCUUGGGCAACUUGUAUUCCAUUGCUUUAGACAGCUUGCAUGCUUUUCACUUGCCAACUUGCAUGGAGAAAUAAUAUUAAAAGGGGAACUUGCAUUUCCACCACAAGCUUUUAGCACAUGUUUUCCCACUUGUAAUAAACUAACAUUUAAAAGAAGCAAGUUGGCUUCUUUCACAUGUUCCUUGCUCGAAAGCUUGCUGAUGCUUUUCCAUCCACUUGCAAUACAUGCAUGUAUCUUGAUUAUACAAAUGCUAGACAAACCUCCACCACCCAAACAAAUAGGAGAAACAAUAUUAUAGUGUCCAACCCCUCCACUUGCAUCUAAAUAUCUUUCCAAGUUAGCUUUCUUGCAUAUUAAUCCUCCAAAUGCCAUAUUUUACCCAAAUUGCCCAAAUAAGUAAAAAUGGGUAUAUUUUGAGUGCAAACAGUGCCCCCCAAGUUUUACAAAUUUGAGCAAAGUUUGUGAAACUUACAACCCCAAUGCUGCCAGGAUUGAUGUCGAAGGAAGAGGCACGUCUACAUCUUCAGUCCUUUCGUCGUUGAGAAACUUGGCAAGAUGAGCAAGGCAAUUGGUAGUGUAACUAGCAUUGGAAAGAAUGUUGUCUGACUUGUGCAUCCUUCUUGUUGAUACCAAAAAACAUGGGAGCAACCUCACUGAUUACAUAGAUAAUAAAUUGGACAAAUGCUCGAAGUCGGGCAAACUGGAGAACAAGGAUAAAACAUAAAUAAACUUGGGCAACUAUUUAUUUUUUGUCUUUUUCUUUUGGCCUCUUUUCAUAUGUAAUAUAAUAUAUAAUACAAAUACAUAUAUAUAUAUAUAUAAUAUAGCCCACUCGGCAAAGAGAACAGAAAGAGACAAGAAGAAAGAGAAAGGAAGGAAAAGAAAAUAAAUAAAUAAAGAAAAAGGAAGAAAGAGAAGAGGACCCUUUCGGGCAAGAAGGGAACGGAAGAGACAGAAGAGAAAGAAAGGGGAAAGGAAAAGGGAGAGAGGGAAAGAAAUAAUAAAAAAGUAAGGAAAGAACCUUUCUUUCUUAGGCCGAGCCAAGUGAAGGACAGACCUUGAGAAAGGGACAAGGAACAGAAAGCAAGAGAAAAGAAAAAAGAAAAGGAAAAAGAAAGAGAUAGAUAGAGAGAAAAAGAUACCCACGUUCUCUAGCCUUUCCUUUUCUCCAAAAGAGAAGCUGUUUCUCUGUUCGAGGCACCACUUAAAGAUCAAGGUGCGGCAACCAAAAUCCAAGUCUGAGAGAGAGAGAGAGAGAGAGAGAGCAAUCCUUGUUCGUUCCCAAAUUUUGCCUCUUUGGAAUUAAGAGAAGUGGAAAGAUGCCUCUUAAGCUAGCCGACGCCACCAUCUCCACCUUCGAUUGUGUGUUUGACAAAUUCAAAGUAGAAGCUCUAAACAACAAAAUCAAUUUCAUCCUUUUCUUGGCUGACAAUGACCCUUCUACCUCUUGGUGCCCUGAUUGUGUGAGAUCUGAGCUUGUAAUCUACAAAAGGCUAGAAGCUAUACCAGAUGAUGUUGCACUGUUGAGGAAAUCAAACUCCUCUGGUGUUAUUUUGUUCAGAGCCCUCAUAGUCUUUCACACGCGAUCCUCAUCAGAUAGAGCAACCUUCUAGCUGACCAUAGUACCUCAGCUUUGAUUGAAGUAGGAGCAGGCCCUCCUCCUUGGUUCUGUUCAUGCAAAUUAAGCCUGAUUUGCAUCUUGCUGUUUGUGACCAAACCGAUCACCAGACUUUUUGUUCUUCCGGAGAGCACCCGAUGACCGUACUCUUUAAGGCAGGAAUUGGUGUAGAAGUGCCACGCCAAACUCGGCUAUUGGGCUCCGAAUAAUCAAUUUUAGGCUGGAGAUGGAGCUGGAGAUUUGGUAGAAUGGUUUUUGCAUGACCUCAGUUCUGAUCUUCACCACUGGAAUUUCAUCAGGGAGCAAAACAGCUUCCCUAAGCUGUAGUUGAUUCUUUGGGACGGAGUGAGAUGCAUAGUGCGCUAGCACACUCCCCUCCCUAACCAGCAAAAAUCCAGACUUUUCUUCCCAUACUGAGAGAUAAUUAGGGAAACUAGAAAUCCCCGAGAUUGGGGAAUGGAAGAAUAUCACCUGCAAUUGUUGCUUAUUGAUCCAUUCCAUUGAGGUCGGGAGCUAUACUAGACUUUGAUCCGCUGUUUGAUGUUCUUUGCCCGAGCUGCGGUUCCAAGACACCACCCAUGGAUUCGUUUUUGGAGUAACAAUACCACAUCGGGCUCAUGGGAGUUUGCAAUAACCCUGCUGUCGAAAGCAUUGUUGGAAUUAAGAUCGUUAUCACUUCCAACAUGAUGUUGCAGCGCAGGUUUUGGCUGGAAUUUGUUGGGAGGUAACGACGAGCAGCUGUGAGCUACGAUGUUGUUGGUUGACUUGUUUUUCACAGAAGCUUGCUCUGUCCACCAUUUAAGCAAUUUUUGGGCUAGGAAGCCAUUGACAGGUUUGUUGGGGGAGUCGGUGUAAUUUCCAGCAUCUCCUUCAGGGGCAGCUAUGGCACGAGCACUUCAAAUACGUUUGCCCGAUCAAACAUGGGGCCCCAUGUCUAAUUGACAACAUCUAAAUAAAUUGUAGCAGAGAAAAAGUCUUGCUCAUCGGGCAAGAUUAUAGCUCCAUCGGGCAAUAGCAACAUACUUUCAUCAAGCAUUCGGGCAAACUGCAAAAACAAUUCUGCACCCACCAUCCAACCUCCACGGUUUAAUCGUAGCCUCAAUGGUAGUCGUCGAAGUAGCCCGACCCUUGGUUGUAGGAGCUGGUGAGAGUUAGGGAGACAUGCAGAGUCUGUUGGUGGUGAACAGGGAAGACGUCACUUCCGUCGGGCAUGGUUAUGGUGGUCUCAUCGGGCACCACCAAUCGGGCAAGAUAACCCCCCUGCUCUUUUGCAAUAGCCAUUGAGAAGCUGUCUGAUAGAUUUUUGCACAGGAAAGCCAUGAUUUGGCUUUUUAUAAAACCUCCAAUUCCAAGAUUCUGGGUGAGAUUUUGUGGAAAAUGUAGUUUUAUUGUAUGGUUUUGGGUUCGGGCUAAAUACACCCAUUGGAUAAGAGAAAAGGUGGAAAGAAGGGUAAAAAUGGCUACUCACAAACUGCCCAACUCUUUAUAUUUUCUGUAAAAUUCCCCAGCAAGAAAACAAAAAGGGAAAGAAAGCAAGAAAAAACAAAGCAAGAAAGCAAAAUGUUUUUGUAAUUUUUGGAAUUUUUAAUUUUUAUAUCUUUUUCUUUGUAACAACACAAGAAACACACCAAGAAAACAGAGCCCUUUCGGGCAAACAGAAAAAGGAAAUUAAAGGCCUGUCAAGCAAGUUGGAAAAAGACAAAUAAAAAGAAAGACUUGUCAGACUUUCUUUAAAAAGAGUAAAACAUAAAAUGGACAAAAGCCCUUUCGGGCAAACCAACACCAAAGGAAGAAAUAUAAUCUUUUUAUUUUUCUUUGUUGUCCUUUUUUUUUUAAAAGCUAUACAUAUAAUAUAAUAAAAUAUACACCUACGAAAAGCCUUCGGGCAAAACACUUUUAUCAUAUAAUAUAAUAUAAUAAAUAUAGAUAUAUAGAUAUAAAAGUGUUUUGGGCAGCAGAAAGACAGGUGAGAGAGAGACAAGAAGGAAAAGAAAGGAAGAAAGAAAGAAAGAAAAAGAAAAGGAAAGAAAAAGGAAAAGGAGGAGAAGGGUACUGGAGAAAAAUGCACAAAAGAAUAACAUAAAAGAAAGCCAUUCGGGCAAAUUGGAUGAAGCCCCUUGGCUACUCAAGUGUUAUUUUUCUCUCAACACUCAAAUCUUUUUCUCUUUUUAAAAUUGAGUGUAGAGAGAUCAAACCCACCAUUUAAAUUGGCCAUGCUAUGUAGCUUGGGAACCAUAGGAGGUGGCCAUUCAUGUUUGAUCCCAAGCUUUGUCCUCAUUGAGAUCUCGAUGCGGACAACAUGCUUGUGUUGGCGGGGAAGAUUAUAGGAGCUAUUUUCUUCUUCUUCGGGCUCCACAUGAGGUGUGGGCUCAUGCCCCCCGAGCGUUGGUGUUUGGCCUACAACGGCUUGGACUUCUACAACCAUAUCCAUUUUCAUGGAUUUUUCCUUGGGUGGGGCCAUUGUUUGGCCUUCAUCAACAUGUAUGAUCUGUUCUUCCUUGGUUGUAGUAGGGUGAGUGUGCUUUGUAGAGGGGAUUUGACACAUUUGAUCUAUCAACUUUCCCAAAGUUUCUCCAAAAGUUGUAUAGCUUUCCUCCACCUUUUUAAAACACUUAGUCAUCUCUUCACCAUAUUCGAUGCUUGCCACAUGGAGUUUUGACACCUUCUCUAAUUUGCCCACAUCCUCUUUGUAGAGCUCUUCAUCCGAAUGAUCAUGAGUUGGCAUCUUAUAUAUUGGCUUUAUGUACUUAUUGGAAGUCUUUUGAUACUCAAAGCCAUUUGUUGGCCUAUCAUAGUAUUCAUGAAUAUGAUUGUCUUCAAAAGAAUAAUAACCUUCAUCAUAACCAUAAGUUGGCCAAUCUGUAAGAUCAUUAUUUAUUUGAUGGCCAUUAGUUGGCCGACAAUCAUGUUCCAUGGGACUUGAGUACUUUUCAGCCAUGUACCCAUAAGUUGGCAACUCAUAGGUUGGCUCUAUGUGAUAGCCAUAGCUUGGGCGCUCUUCCACACCAUCAUCUUCCGAAAAAGCAGAAAAAUCAUGAACAUAAGGAUUGUUCAUGAUCUAACUCCAUAUAAGGAUCCCACCGGGCGUGCCAAAAUAUGUUCGCUCCCUAAAUCCGCCAUGGCGCCUUGCGGGCAAGCCGGGGAUUUACUUCACAUAUGAGAUUGGUGGGUGCGGGCGUGCCACUACUAGAUGCCGCUAGUAGACGGGAUUUGAGUGAUUGAGGUUGCGCCUGAAUUUGCCCGAAUCAAGAGAUUGUGUCAUUUGAGUGGGAGUUGCUCAAAUUAAGGUUCUUUGUUUGCCUUAAAAAUAAGGACUUUACUUAUAUGGAGAGAUAGAACAAUAUGUAAAUGACAAGGUUGCUUGGAAAUGUAACUGACAGAGGAAAGUGACUAAUAUUGCAGAUUGCUUGUAAUUUAUAUGACUGGAAAUGAGUACAUAAAAGCUACAAAUGAAAUCGAUACUACAAGUGAGUAGCAGAGCUAAUAAACUAGAGAAAAGAAGGCUUUUUGGUGAAGGUUGAUCCCGAAAGGGAUGAAGGCUUGGUGCUGACUACAGCUUCGUUUGAAGGCAAAUCUGGCUUGAGC